GUUGGUAAGGUAACGGCUUACCAAGGCGACGAUCAGUAGCCGACCUGAGAGGGUGAUCGGCCACAUUGGAACUGAGACACGGUCCAAACUCCUACGGGAGGCAGCAGUGGGGAAUAUUGCACAAUGGGCGAAAGCCUGAUGCAGCAACGCCGCGUGAGCGAUGAAGGCCUUCGGGUCGUAAAGCUCUGUCCUCAAGGAAGAUAAUGACGGUACUUGAGGAGGAAGCCCCGGCUAACUACGUGCCAGCAGCCGCGGUAAUACGUAGGGGGCUAGCGUUAUCCGGAUUUACUGGGCGUAAAGGGUGCGUAGGUGGUUUCUUAAGUCAGGAGUGAAAGGCUACGGCUCAACCGUAGUAAGCUCUUGAAACUGGGAAACUUGAGUGCAGGAGAGGAAAGUGGAAUUCCUAGUGUAGCGGUGAAAUGCGUAGAUAUUAGGAGGAACACCAGUAGCGAAGGCGGCUUUCUGGACUGUAACUGAUACUGAGGCACGAAAGCGUGGGGAGCAAACAGGAUUAGAUACCCUGGUAGUCCACGCCGUAAACGAUGAGUACUAGGUGUCGGGGGUUACCCCCCUCGGUGCCGCAGCUAACGCAUUAA
rnacentral:rRNA from 1 species